rnacentral:tRNA from 1 species
GCGGAAGUGGCGAAAUUGGUAGACGCACAAGAUUUAGGUUCAGGCGCCGCGAGGCGUAAGAGGUCAAGUCUCUUCUUCCGCACCA